UCGAGCGAAAGACAGGAGAUUGCUCCUUUGACGUUAGCGGCGGACGGGUGAGUAACACGUGGGUAACCUACCUAUAAGACUGGGAUAACUUCGGGAAACCGGAGCUAAUACCGGAUAAUAUUUCGAACCGCAUGGUUCGAUAGUGAAAGAUGGUUUUGCUAUCACUUAUAGAUGGACCCGCGCCGUAUUAGCUAGUUGGUAAGGUAACGGCUUACCAAGGCGACGAUACGUAGCCGACCUGAGAGGGUGAUCGGCCACACUGGAACUGAGACACGGUCCAGACUCCUACGGGAGGCAGCAGUAGGGAAUCUUCCGCAAUGGGCGAAAGCCUGACGGAGCAACGCCGCGUGAGUGAUGAAGGUCUUCGGAUCGUAAAACUCUGUUAUUAGGGAAGAACAUACGUGUAAGUAACUAUGCACGUCUUGACGGUACCUAAUCAGAAAGCCACGGCUAACUACGUGCCAGCAGCCGCGGUAAUACGUAGGUGGCAAGCGUUAUCCGGAAUUAUUGGGCGUAAAGCGCGCGUAGGCGGUUUUUUAAGUCUGAUGUGAAAGCCCACGGCUCAACCGUGGAGGGUCAUUGGAAACUGGAAAACUUGAGUGCAGAAGAGGAAAGUGGAAUUCCAUGUGUAGCGGUGAAAUGCGCAGAGAUAUGGAGGAACACCAGU
rnacentral:rRNA from 1 species